GACGAACGCUGGCGGCGUGCCUAAUACAUGCAAGUCGAGCGCAGGAAACUGACGGAACUCUUCGGAGGGAAGGCAGCGGAAUGAGCGGCGGACGGGUGAGUAACACGUAAGGAACCUGCCUCAAGGAUUGGGAUAACUCCGAGAAAUCGGAGCUAAUACCGGAUAGUUCAACGGACCGCAUGGCCCGCUGAUGAAAGGCGCUCCGGCGUCACCUUGAGAUGGCCUUGCGGUGCAUUAGCUAGUUGGUGGGGUAACGGCCCACCAAGGCGACGAUGCAUAGCCGACCUGAGAGGGUGAUCGGCCACACUGGGACUGAGACACGGCCCAGACUCCUACAGGAGGCAGCAGUAGGGAAUCUUCCACAAUGGACGAAAGUCUGAUGGAGCAACGCCGCGUGAGUGAUGAAGGUUUUCGGAUCGUAAAACUCUGUUGUAAGGGAAGAACACGUACGAGAGGAAAUGCUCGUACCUUGACGGUACCUUACGAGAAAGCCACGGCUAACUACGUGCCAGCAGCCGCCGUAA
rnacentral:rRNA from 1 species